GACGGGGGAUGCAAGUGUUAUCCGCAAUCACUGGGCGUAAAGCGUCUGCAGGUGGUUUCCUAAGUCCACUGUUAAACCUUGAGGCUCAACCUCAAAUCUGCAUUGGAAACUAGGAGACUUGAGUAUAGUAGGGGUAGAGGGAAUUUCCAGUGGAGCGGUGAAAUGCGUAGAUAUUGGAAAGAACACCGAUGGCGAAGGCACUCUACUGGGCUAUUACUGACACUCAGAGACGAAAGCUAGGGGAGCAAAUGGG
rnacentral:rRNA from 1 species